CUAAGAUAGUAUGAGAAAGUUCUGAUCUUGACAGUUCAUGUAACAUUCAAUCAAUUAUACCAUUGCUCUAUCUCUAAAGUUUUUUUUUCUCCUUUUCUCAGUGUCUUACCAAGAAUGAAAGGCAACCUGUGUAAAAACUAUGGGCUUUCUAGUAUAAAUAAAAACUACUCAUCUCCAGAAAAUAAACAAUGACUGCUAAGAUGAUUGAAAAAAGAAAGGAGAAGAAAGUAGCUUGUAAAAGCGUGUGAAAUUCAUUCACGUUGGAAUCUCCUACAGGCACUUCAGGUCUUCAGACUGUAAACAUUUUAAGUGUGAUUGCUGUGAAUGAAGGAAACCCAGAGCCAUCAUGACAAGCCUAAACUCAAAGGGGACUGAUUUCUUCUACACUGAAUGUUUCAUUAGUGACAGGGCCCAGAUAAUAAAGAAUUGUGAUCACUUCCUGUGA
rnacentral:lncRNA from 1 species